AACGAACGUUAGCGGCGCGCCUAACACAUGCAAGUCGCACGAGAAAGGGCUUCGGCCCCGGUAAAGUGGCGCACGGGUGAGUAACACGUGGGUAAUCUGCCCUCGAGCUGGGGAUAACGGUCCGAAAGGACCGCUAAUACCGCAUAAGACCACGACCUCGAAAGGGGAUGCGGUCAAAGCUGGCCUCUAUUCAUAAGCUAGCACUUGAGGAUGACCCCGCGGCGCAUCAGCUAGUUGGUGAGGUAAUGGCUCACCAAGGCUAAGACGCGUAGCUGGUCUGAGAGGAUGAUCAGCCACACUGGAACUGAGACACGGUCCAGACUCCUACGGGAGGCAGCAGUGGGGAAUCUUGCGCAAUGGGCGAAAGCCUGACGCAGCGACGCCGCGUGAGUGAUGAAGGCCUUCGGGUUGUAAAGCUCUGUGGGGAGAGACGAAUAAGUGCGGCCUAAUACGUUGCAUGAUGACGGUAUCUCCUUAGCAAGCACCGGCUAACUCUGUGCCAGCCGCCGCUGUAAUAC
rnacentral:rRNA from 1 species